CGUCCCCAUCUCCUCGCCGCCGCCACCUCCUCCCUGUCCCCCUCCCCAUUCAGUCCUCUCCCCGCCGCUCCCACCCACCGCCGUCCUCCUCACCCAUCGCCGCCGACCUCGUCCCUCCCUCCCCUCACCAUCUCUCCCUACCCUAUGCCCCAGAUCAAGUCGAGCAGGUCGGCAUCCCAUCGAUCCACAGCCAGAUCCGCCACCCCGACCCGCUCCUCGUCCCACCCACCCCAAUCGGAGGGAGUCAUCCCUCGCGGAGCGGCAUGGACUCGGCGAUGCUCUCGCUCACCUGCACGGGCCUCGGGGACGCGAAGGACGACGACGACGGAGGCGUCGUCAGCUACGUCAAGGGGACCACCGCCUUGGUACCGCCCCCACUCUCCUCGCCUUUCCCCGUCAAGGGCUACGUCAAGGGAAACCACUAUCGCUGGAGGCGCACGGCCCCGGCGGCGACCGGCCGAAGAAGCCGCGCCGCUACGGGGUCAUGGAGAUGAGGAGCCCCUGCUACUCCUUCCGUCCCGCCCACCACGCGCUCCAGGUCAUUGUUGUGAAGGCCGCCAUGGGAAGGCGUGGGGGAUUUGGCACAAGGCAGUGUCAAGAGCUAUGUGAGCCCUCCUGGAAGGGGCUUUGGUUGGACCUCUGAUUGACCUCCCCAUAGACUUCGACUCAAGACUUAAAAUUGUGGUGGUUCCUCUUUUAAAGAAGCUCAAACGUGAAGUGUGAAGUAGUGAAGUGUGAAGCAAGUGUGAAGCCGUGAAGUACUACUCAGUGAAGAGCAGCAUACAUACUGUAGCAUAUGUGUGUUGUAAAGAUUGUAAUAGAUUUAUUUAGUGGUAUAUUUGAUGGAUUUUAUGUGUUCUCUGUUCUAUUUUAAAUAUUGAUUAUGUAUGUGGUUUGAAAACUUUUGAAAUGGAAACUUGACCAGCGGGGCUACUUAUGAAAA